ACAGUGACCGCCACCGUUGCCAAGGGAUGGGUCCCUGAGACUUGGCGAAGUGGGAGCCCUGUGUGAUCGUGCGUCAGAGUCGGGGCUGAGACCAGCCCCGGCCAGGGUAGUUACCGGGACGGUCUCCGGAGGCCGGGAUUCGCGGAGGGUCCACCAGCAGGAAGAAACCCCAGGAGGAAGAAACCUCAGACAGAUCGCCGGGGAGGCAGCGCGGGAUCCCAGCCUCAGGCGUGCGCGGACGGUGUGCGGAGUCUAGCUUUGUACCAGGCUGCAGUGCAGUAGUGCCAUCUCAGCUCACUGCAACCUCUGCCUCCCGGGUUCAAGAGAUUGUCCUGCCUCAGCCUCCCGAGUAGCUGGGAUUACAGGCACAUGCCACCACACCCAGCUAAUGUUUGUAUUUUUAGUAGACACGGGGUUUCAUCAUGUUGCCCAGGAUGGUCUCAAUUUCCUGACCUCGUGAUCCGCACAUCUCGGCCUCCCAAAAUGCUGGGAUUACAGGCAUGAGCCACCAGAACCGGACAUGCUUUCCUUAAAAGCUAAAUAUUUUAGGCUUGUGUGCCAUUAGGCUCUGUUACAACUACUUAAUUCUGCUUUUGUAAUUCUAUAGCACCCAUUGAUAAUACAUAAACAAAUGAGCAUGAAUGUAUCUCAGUAAAAAUUUGUUCACAUAAACAGGCAGUCCACCCAUGAAGCUAUAGCUUGCUGACCCCUUGUUUAAACAAUCAAUUGAAUUCAAACAGAAAUAAAAGGAUCUUAUAUAUUUAACCAUGUUGAUACCAUUUCCAGUGCUUUUCAUUCUUCUAUGUAGAUCCAAAUUUCCUUUUGAUAUUAUUUUACGUCUGCCUGAAACAUUUUCUUUAACAUUUUUUAUAGUGCUGUUUUACUGGUGAUGAUUUAUUUCAGGUUCUAAGUGCCAGAACAAAAUCUUUAUUUCACCUACAUCUUGAAAGAUAGUUUCUCUGAGUCUACAAUUUCCAGCUGACAAUGUUUAUCUUCCAGUACUUUAAAGAUGUUGCUUCAUUAUCUUCUAAUUUUCUUUGUUUCCAAUAAAAUGUUUGCUGGCAUUUUUUGUUCCUCUGUGCAAACCGUGUUUUUGUCAUUGGCUGCUUUGAGAAUUUUUCUUUAUCACUAGUUUUAAGCAAUUUUAUUUUAGUGUAUUUUGUGCACAAGACAAGGAUGCCCUCUCUCACCACUCCUGUUCAACAUAGUAUUGGAAGUCCUUGCCAAAACAGUUAGGCAAGAGAAAGAAAUAAAGGUACCCAAAUAGGAAGAAAGGACGUCAAACUAUCCCUGUCUGUAGAUUACAUGAUCCUAUAUGUAGAAAACUUUAUAGGCCCAAAAGCUUAAGGCCCGAAAGCUCCUUAAGAUGAAAAACACCUUUGGCAGAGUCUCAGGAUACAAAAAGAACAUACAAAAAUUACUCGCAUUCCCAUACACCAACAAGAGUCAAGCGGAGAGCCAAAUCAGGAAUGCAAUCUGAUUCACAAUUGCUGCAAAAAGAAUCAAAUACCUAGGAAUACAGCUAACUAGUGAGGUGAAAGAUCUCUGUAAGAACUAAAAACACCAAAGAUAUCAGAGAGGAUGAAACAAAUGAAAAAACAUUCUAUGCUCAUGGAUAGGAAGAAUCAAUAUCAUUAAAAUGGCCAUAUUUUCCUUAUUUUCAAGUAUGCUAUUGCGCUCUAUGACUGCCAGAUGUAAUUCUAAAAAUCUGUUUGUUAAUUUUAUUAUUUUAUUUUUGGAAUUUCUUCAGACAUUGAUGGUCUUGUCCCAGUUAUUAACAACAUCUACAUGUUUAAGAAUAAAUUUUCUUUUCUAUCUACUUCUUAUUCCAUUGAAAAUUACCUUUCUAUCCUCCUACUCUGGAAGUCUUUAUGAUUCUGUCCUAAUCGUUAGUAUCCCAUUGCUUCUUCAAGAGAUGUCUAUCAGUAGAAUUUCUCCAUUAAUAUAAGUUCAUACUUCUAUGAAAACUUUAAAUCUCAAGUCUACAGUAUUUCUAGUUCUAAAAAAUAUUUAAAUUAGUUCUUUAAUUAUUUCCAUCUUUAUGUUUACUUUCCUUUUUUUUCUAGCAUUUUAAACAACUUUACGUCAACAAUUCUUUAUCUUCACUUUACCUCCCUUUACCUUUCUUCAUUUUAUCCUAGCCAUUGGAUUCAGAGAAAAUUAUUCAACUUUUAAACUUCAAACUUGCUAGAUCUAUAUUUAACUAUGUCUAUUGUUCUCUUCAGAACAUCUGUUGAGUUUUUAAUCCAAGAGCUAUUAUCAGUAUUUUCUAAAAUGCAACCUCUUCUUGCAUGUCUCUGAAGAUAUGAAUUACACUUACUGUAAUUACAUUUGUUUCUUGUCUUAAUUCUGAUUCUCUGAAAUUACUUAUUCUGUUUGCUAAGUUUUGUAUCUUCUUUCUUGUUUUUCUUAAAAGUUGGGUGACAAUAUUUUACAUGGGUAGUUUUUCUGUUAAUC
rnacentral:lncRNA from 1 species